CUGCAGGAGCCAGAUCUGGACCCCAAGCCAAUCCUGGAGCUGCCCCUGGCAGAGCUGGCCCAGCAGCUUCGGACCGAAGAGCUGAGUCUGGAGAGCAUCCUCUGUAGCUACUUAAGGUGCACCAGGAGGUGAACUGCCUGAUGGAUUUCCUGGGGGAAUGUGAGGAGGAACUGCAGGCAUUAAAGAAGCUUAAGAAGAGUGAGAGAGGCCUUCUCUAUGGGGUCCCCAUGAGCCUAGGACGGGGUCAUUAUGAAAGUGCUCAAGGCCCAAGGAGCCAUCCCCUUUGUUAAGACCAACAUCCCACUGACGCUUAGCUUUGAAUGCGGCAACUCCCAUCUAUGGCCAGAUGUUGAGCCCACUGAACUUAAAGAAGACAUGUGGGGGCUCCUCAGGGGGUGAGGGGCUCUGCUGGCAGAAAGGGGGUCCAUCCUAGGCAUGGGUACUGACACAGGUGACAGCAUCUGCAUACCAGCCAGCUUCUGUGGUGUUUAUGGCCUCUGGACCACAGGUUCCCGCCUCAGGUACUGCAGUGACCACGGUGGCUGGCCCCAUGGCCCAGGACGUGGAGAGCCUGGCGCUGUGCCUGCAAGCCCUGCUGAGUGAAGACAUGUACCGACUGGACCCCACUGUGCUCCAGAUGCCCUUUAGGGAGGAGUUUACACCAGUAACCGGCCCCUUCGAAUUGGCUACUAUGAAUCAGAUGGUUACAUCCAGCCAUCCCCUAGCAUGGCCAGGGCUGUGCAGCUCACCUCCUGGCUGCUCCAGGACCCCUUCUCCAUCCCCCAGGCAGAAUACGCCAUCAAAGACUUGUACACGGGGGGAUGUUUACUGAUGGAGGGGCCACUCUUCGGGGGACAUUGUGGAUUCAGGACACCCAAGAAACUGUGGGAACAGCACACAGCAGUUAUGAGCAAGAGUUCAUAGCCAAGUGGAGGUCCCUGGACCUGGAUGUGCUGCUGGUGCCAGUUCUGGGCUCUGCCUUCUAUAUAGGCUCUUCCUCCCUAGCAUCAGUCUUAUGUGACCCUGUACAACCUCCUGGACUUUCCCGCGGGCGUGGUGCCUGUCACUAUCGUGACACUACAGGACGAGGAGGAACUGGCCUUCUACAAGGGGUGCUACGGAGAUAGUUCUGCGGAGUUCUGGUGACUGUGCAGUGCAUUGCUUUGCCAUGGGAAGAGGAGCUGUGUCUCCGGUUCAUGAAGGAGGUGGACACCUUGGUCAAGAAUCAGAGGGGGCCC
rnacentral:lncRNA from 1 species